rnacentral:rRNA from 1 species
AUUGAACGCUGGCGGCAGGCCUAGCACAUGCAAGUCGAACGACUGGCGGACGGGUGAGUAAUUUCUGGGAAACUCCCUGAUGGAGGGGGAUCACUACUGGAAACGGUAGCUAAUACCGCAUACCCUCGGAUAUUCCCAGAUGGGAUUAGCUAGUAGGUGGGGAAAAGGCUCACCUAGGCGACGAUCCCGAGCUGGUCUGAGAGAAUGACCAGCCAGAUUGGAACUGAGACACGGUCCAGACUCCGACGGGAGGCCGCAGUGGGGAAUAUUGCACAAUGGGUGCAAGCAGGAUGCAGCCCAGGCGCGUGUAUGAAGAAGGCAUGCGGGUUGUAAAGUACCUUCCGCGAGGACGCGUCAACCGCAGGAGAAGGACCGGCAAACUCCGUGCCAGCAGCCGCGGUAAUUC